UACGUAGGGGGCAAGCGUUGUCCGGAAUCAUUGGGCGUAAAGGGCGCGUAGGCGGCCUUCUAAGUCGAACGUGAAAUCCCCGGGCUCAACCCGGGAACUGCGUCCGAUACUGGAAGGCUUGAAUCCGGGAGAGGGAUGCGGAAUUCCAGGUGUAGCGGUGAAAUGCGUAGAUAUCUGGAGGAACACCGGUGGCGAAGGCGGCAUCCUGGACCAACACUGACACUGAGGAGCGAAAGCCAGGGGAGCAAACGGG
rnacentral:rRNA from 1 species